CGGGUUUUGUAAGAAACGUAAGAAGGCCCGAGCCGUAGCGAAUUCCGGUCCCAGUGUGAGGUUGCCCAUCUGGACUCCACUUGCGGGACCCGCAUCCGUUUCCUCCGUGAGUCCGUCGUCGAGGCUCCUUUCCCGGGUCAUAAUAGUACUGCAUGUCAUAUAUUUAAUAUUUUUAACCUCUCGGUGGCAUCUUAUCUUAUAAAAGGUAU
rnacentral:lncRNA from 1 species